AAAAGAUGUACCUACACAAAGGAAUUUAUCGCCUGUGGUCUGGUUACUAGUAAACAAUGUUGCACCUUCCUGUUGACUCUUGCCAAUUAAAAACGUCCACCCAAAAACCAUUGUCAAUAUGGCGAGGAGUGUCGCCUGAUUAAAUACACGGGGCAACAUAUUGCGAAGAACAUGCUCCUGAAGAGCGGUAGGAUCUGCCUGUGAAUUGUUCAACGACUCUGUCUGACUAGGCUUUUUCUCGCAAAUUGAUCUCAAAUACGGGACUA
rnacentral:ribozyme from 1 species